rnacentral:rRNA from 1 species
AUGAACGCUGGCGGCGUGCCUAACACAUGCAAGUCGAACGGAGAUAAGACGCUGACGAGACUUCGGUCAAAUCUUGUUUAUCUUAGUGGCGGACGGGUGAGUAACGCGUGGGCAACCUGCCUCAUACUGGGGGAUAGCAGUUGGAAACGACUGAUAAUACCGCAUAAGCGCACGGAGUCGCAUGACUCAGUGUGAAAAACUCCGGUGGUAUGAGAUGGGCCCGCGUCAGAUUAGCCAGUUGGCAGGGUAACGGCCUACCAAAGCGACGAUCUGUAGCCGGCCUGAGAGGGCGGACGGCCACAUUGGGACUGAGACACGGCCCAAACUCCUACGGGAGGCAGCAGUGGGGGAUAUUGCACAAUGGAGGAAACUCUGAUGCAGCGACGCCGCGUGAAGUGAAGAAGUAUUUCGGUAUGUAAAGCUCUAUCAGCAGGGAAGAAAGGCUCCGCAAGGAGAGAUGACGGUACCUGACUAAGAAGCCCCGGCUAACUACGUGCCAGCAGCCGC